AACGAACGCUGGCGGCAUGCCUAACACAUGCAAGUCGAACGAGACCUUCGGGUCUAGUGGCGCACGGGUGCGUAACGCGUGGGAACCUGCCCUUAGGUUCGGAAUAACUCCCCGUAAGGGGUGCUAAUACCGGAUAAUGUCUUCGGACCAAAGAUUUAUCGCCUUUGGAUGGGCCCGCGUUGGAUUAGCUAGUUGGUAGGGUAAAAGCCUACCAACGCGACGAUCCAUAGCUGGUCGGGGAGGAGGAUCAGCCACACUGGGACUGAGACACGGCCCAGACUGCUACGGAAGGCAGCAGUGGGGAAUAUUGGACAAUGGGCGAAAGCCUGAUACAGCAAUGCCGCGUAAGUGAGGAAGGCCUUAGGGUUGUAAAGCUCUUUUACCCGAGAUGAUAAUGACAGUACCGGGAGAAUAAGCUCCGGCUAACUCCGUG
rnacentral:rRNA from 1 species